AAUUUUUGCAGUCCAGUGCCAGUGUUCAGAAUCAUGAAUUCCUUUUAGUGCACCAUUUGCAGCGUGCCAAUUAUGUGCCUGCCUUGAAGCUGAACCAAACUCUGAAGAUUAAUGUUAUGAAUGAUCGUGAUCCUCGUUUGCGGGAGAGAUCACUGGCUCGAAAUUCUAUAUUAGACCAGUAUGGAAAAAUCCUUCCUAGAGUCCAUCGAAAAUUAGCUGUUGAACGAGCUAAGCCUUAUCAUCUGUCAACAUCAUCAGUUUUUCGAUUAGUUUCUAGACCCAAACCAUUAUCAGCAGUUCCAAAGCAAGUUGUAACAGGAACUGUGUUGACAAGAUCUGUUUUCAUCAACAAUGUGUUAUCUAAAAUUGGAGAAGUUUGGGCAAGCAAAGAACCUAUAAAUAGCACCACAUCUUACAAUAGUUCUAAAAUAGAAGAACCAUCUCCUAUAGUGUAUUCGCUCCCAGCUCCAGAGCUACCUGAGGCAUUUUUUGGAACACCAAUUUCAAAAGCAUCACAAAAAAUUUCUAGACUGCUAGAUUUGGUUGUUCAGCCUGUCCCCCGGCCUUCUCAGUGUUCGGAGUUUAUUCAGCAAAGCUCCAUGAAAUCUCCUUUGUACCUAGUAUCCCGUUCACUGCCCUCAAGUUCACAAUUAAAAGGAUCGCCUCAGGCCAUCUCCAGGGCUUCAGAAUUACAUUUGCUUGAAACUCCUCUUGUAGUUAAGAAAGCUAAAAGUUUGGCCAUGUCAGUUACUACUUCUGGAUUUUCUGAGUUCACUCCUCAGUCCAUCCUGAGGUCUACUCUUCGAUCAACACCUUUAGCAUCUCCCUCUCCAUCACCUGGAAGGUCUCCUCAACGACUCAAAGAAACUAGAAUUUCAUUUGUGGAAGAAGAUGUCGACCCAAAAUGGAUUCCUGGGGCUGCAGGUGAUAGCAAAUUAGAAGUAUUUACUACACCUAAAAAAUGUGCAGUUCCAGCGGAAACUGAAUGGCUGAAGAGCAAAGAUAGGACCACAUCUUUUUUCCUGAACAGCCCUGAAAAGGAGCAUCAAGAAAUGGAUGUGGGGUCACAAAGUUUAGAGAAACUGGAUGUGAGCAAAGGAAACAGCAGUGUUUCAAUCACAUCCGAUGAGACUACCUUAGAGUAUCAGGAUGCACCGUCACCGGAAGACCUUGAAGAGACUGUUUUCACGGCCUCUAAGCCCAAAAGCUCUUCCACUGCACUAACUACUAAUGUAACUGAACAAACUGAAAAGGAUGGAGGUAAAGAUGUAUUUGCAUCAGAACUAACUCCUUCAGACCUGCAGAAACAAAUGGGCAAUUUAGAAGAUGCAGAAACAAAGGAUCUCUUAGUUGCAGCAGAGGCAUUUUCAGAAUUAAAUCACUUAAGCCCCAUUCAAGGAACUGAAGCUUCUCUUUGUGCACCAUCAGUCUAUGAAGGGAAAGUCUUCACCCAGAAGUCCAAGGUACCAGUGUCGGACGAAGGAUUAACAUCUGUUGAAACCUACACCUCUGCAAUUAGAGCAAAUGACAAUACAUCUAUGGCUGAUGUCCUUGGUGAUAGUGGAAACUCCUCGCUCACUAUCUCUGAAGGUCCUGUUGUCUCUGAGCACAGGCUUAACCAGGAAGUAGCGCAGAACUUAAAAGAAGAUCAUGAAGUAGAAGUUGGUGUACUAAAAGAAAGUGUUGCCUUACCAGAAGAAAAGCUUCCAAUUUCUGACAGCCCUCCUGAUACUCAAGAAAUUCAUGUAAAUGCAAGGACCAUUCCUUCUUCCACCAAACCCUUGCAGGAGAGGUACUGAACUUGAAAGCCUUAGGAAUUUCAUGGUUUAUGCAGCCCCAGCAAAGGGAAGAGGAUUGAGUCUAGCCCAAGGGAGCUUAUGUGAUUGAACAGGAAAAGCUUGAAGCUCAAGAUUCAGGAGAAGAGGCUAGGAAUCUUUCAUUUAAUGAGUUAUAUCCCUCUGGAACACUUAAGCUUCAGUACAAUUUUGAUACUAUUGACCAACAGUUUUGUGACUUAGCCGAUAAUAAAGACACUGCUGAAUGUGACAUUGCUGAAGUAGAUGGGGAACUUUUUGUGGCUCAAAGCAACUUUACCUUGAUAUUGGAAGGUGAAGAAGGAGAAGUUGAGCCAAGUGAUUUUGCAUCAUCUGAUGUGUUACCUAAAGCAGCUAACACAGCAACUGAAGAAAAACUUGUAUGCAGUGGGGAAAAUGAUAAUCAUGGACAAGUUGCAAAUUUGCCAUCUGCCAUAACUAGUGACCAAAAGUCCCAAAAAGUAGAGACUUUACCAUAUGUGCCUGAACCUAUUAAAGUAGCAAUUGCAGAAAAUUUACUAGAUGUAAUUAAAGACACAAGAAGUAAAGAAAUUACUUCAGAUACAAUGGAACAGUCCGUUCAUGAAACGAUACCUUUAGUGAGCCAAAACAUAAUGUGUCCCACUGAAUUAGUCAAAUCUGCACUUAAGACUGCUCAGAAAACAAGCACAAUGACUAUGAAUGUCAGCCAGGUUGAUGACAUGGUUUCCUCCAAAACUCGUACGAGAGGACAACGUAUCCAAAACGUUAAUGUCAAAUCAGCACAACAGGAAGCAUCAGCAGAUGUUGCUACUCCUAAGAUGCCAGGGCAGUCAGUUAGGAAGAAAACUAGGAAGGCAAAAGAAAUUUCUGAAGCUUCUGAAAACACCUAUUCUGAUGUCAGAGGAAUAUCUCAGAACCAGCAAAUACCUCAAAAUUCUAUUACGCCUAGGAGAGGAAGGAGAAAGAAAGAAGUUAAUCAGGACAUACUAGAAAACACCAGUUCUGUGGAACAAGAAUUACAGAUCACUACAGGUAGGGAAUCAAAAAGAUUAAAAUCAUCUCAGCUGUUGGAACCAGCAGUUGAAGAAACUAUUAAAAAAGAAGUUAAGGUUUCAUCUGUUACAAAAAGGACUCCUAGAAGAAUUAAAAGAUCUGUAGAAAAUCAGGAAAGUGUUGAAAUUAUAAAUGAUCUAAAAGUUAGUACAGUAACAAGUCCUAGCAGAACGAUCAGAAAAUUGAGAAGUGCUAAUUUAGAUGCUUCUGAAAAUACAGGAAAUAAGCAAGAUGAUAAAUCCAGUGACGAGCAGCUGCCUGUUAAACGUAUUAGAAGGGUCAGAGGGAGAGAAGUUAGUCCAUCAGAUGUGAGAGAAGACUCCAACCUUGAGUCAUCUCAGUUGACUCUUCAAGCAGAAUUUGAUAUGUCUGCCACACCUAGAAAACGUGGUAGACCAAGAAAAAUCAAUCCAUCUGAAGAUGUAGGAUCUAAGGCUGUUAAGGAAGAGAGAAGCCCCAAGAAGAAAGAAGCUCCCAGCAUUAAAAGGAGAUCUACAAGAAAUGCCCCAGCUAAAAGUGAAAAUAUUGAUGUUGGAAAACCAGCUUUAGGAAAAUCCAUUUUAGUGCCAAACGAGGAACUUUUGAUGGUGAUGAACUCUAAG
rnacentral:sRNA from 1 species